CCCGAGAUGAGUUCUCCCUGAGACUUAGAGUCUCCUGAAGGAACGUUGAAGACGACGACGUUGAUAGGCCGGGUGUGUAAGCGCAGCGAUGCGUUGAGCUAACCGGUACUAAUGAACCGUGAGGCUUAACCUUACAACGCCGAAG
rnacentral:rRNA from 8 species